rnacentral:tRNA from 1 species
GGGGAUUUAGCUCAGCGGCGUAAGCACCUGCCUUGCAAGCAGGCAGUCCUUGAUCCCCG